CUAUAGCCUACGUCAGGGUCGGGGAACGUUUCUCAUUCGAAGGGCCGCUUCAAAUUCAUCCGAGGGGCCGUAAAAGUCCUCCAAGGGCCGUACUAUGAACACAAACCAGGAUUUUCCCUUUCACUUUAGGCCUAUAUUGAAGGCAGCCACAUUUAAACAAACGCCACCUUCUUCAGGUUCCCUGAAUAUAACUUAAUUGUAUUGCAAAUGUAUUUUCUAAGAUUCCUUUACAAAAUAUGUCAUAUUUCAUGUGAAGCUGAAUAGCAUUAAAAUUAUAUCGGGGGGCCAGAUAAAACUGCCUCAAGGGUCGCAAACGGCCCUAGAGACAUAGGUUCCCCACCCCUGGCCUACAUUGUCAAUAUGACUUGUGCUACUUUAUAGAUAAGUAAUCAAUGCUGUGCAUUGCUAUGUUUUGAUUUAUUUUCUUACAUCCUACAGAUCCUGGCAGGGAGACGGUAGUGUCCUGCAGAAUGGUGAUGGGCCAAUCUUACAAGAGACCACAGAAAACUGAUAUAGUGAACUAUAGAAACAACAGUGCCUGCUGCAGUAUAACGAGGACACCCUGAGCAGAGAGCUCCAAUAGACCCAGGUCCAGUGUCUUGGCAGGGUGAAAUGGCACUGAUAUGGUGUCCUGCAGGAUGCUGUGUCCUGCAAUCCUGUGUGCUGUGCUACAGACGCGUGUGGAGGUCAACCCAAAAUGGGCACAGUCUCACCACAGAAGAGUGAAAGAGGCUCCCAGAAGUGAGACUGAGUGCCUGUUGCAGUAUGACGAGGACGCAGUGACCAGAGACCUUCAGUAGACCCUGCUGGCAUGAUUGGCG